GAACUGCGAUAAGUAAUGUGAAUUGCAGAAUUCAGUGAAUCAUCGAAUCUUUGAACGCACCUUGCGCUCCUUGGUAUUCCUUGGAGCAUGCCUGUUUGAGUAUCAUGAAAUCUUCAAAGUAAAUCUUUUGUUAACUCAAUUGGUUUCUACUUUGGUAUUGGAGGUCUUUGCAGCUUCACACCUGCUCCUCUUGUUCAUUAGCUGGAUCUCAGUGUUAUGCUUGGUUCCACUCGGCAUGAUAAGUUAUCUAUCGCUGAGGACACUGUAAAAGGUGGCCAAGGUAAAUGCAGAUGAACCGCUUCUAAUAGUCCAUUGACUUGGACAAUACUUUUAUGAUCUGAUCUCAAAUCAGGUAGGACUACCCGCUGAACUUAAGC
rnacentral:misc_RNA from 1 species